GGCAAGUCGGCGCCACCUGCGCUCCGAGCUCAAAGCCUCCAACCUGCGACCACGAUCUCCUGCUCCUUCGGCGAGCCCACGACAAAUACCAACGCUUGCUGCCCUGCUCCUCCUGCUCCAAAGCCCUCAGCAGAUCCCGUCUAACUCUCAAGGUUGGCGAGCUCGUAGCGACAGCCUCUCAGGCCUUGCCUCCCUGUCCUGUUAGCCGUCGCGGCGCCGCUCUAGGGCCAGCUGGCCAUGGAUCAUCUUGCCAUCUUAAGGCUGACACUGCUCCAAGCCUGCAAUCGAAGACUAGAUGUGCGGCUUCCAGGUGCGUUGGUUUUCCUUCAUGCACUGGUUGUUGUGUCUCUUGUUGUUAUCCGCUCAUGUGUAGUAACCUUGAAGAUGCACUUUAGGUAUGGUUCUAUUUGUUUUAGAUAUGUGCCUUGGGUGUUGUCAACGAGUUUGAGUUGCUUUAAUUUGUUUGUGGACUUAGUGGGGAGUACCCUGGAUUCGUCGCAUUAUUUUUUUGUAGACUCUCGGAUCUUGUUGACAGACUGACAGUAGUACUCCAGUUCUCUGGUAGUUGACGAAUGUUGCUUGACAACAAGAAGUAGAGAUUCUAGUGGUAUUGGCUGGGGCAUUGCCUGAUAGUUUGUUAGGGUGUUUCGUCUAUAUCUUUAGCAUUUCACAAAUUUCGGUCUCUUUAGCUUGUCAGAAAACCACUGUCUUGUGGGUUGUAACGAGGUGGGUCUGUGUGGUUCCAAUUCUCACUAGCUUGCACAUUUUCCCUCCAUCCUGGUGGUGGUAAAGGCGUGUUGAUGGCAUGUUCAAAUACCUUUGAACUGCUGACAGGCGCUUUUCUUCUUGGUUUUGGGUUAAGAGAAAUUCCAAGAAAUAUUUGGAAAAAUGCAGACUGGCCUCACCGCCAAAAAGUACUUUAUCAUAGAUUGCCAAGAUGGCUGUAAAGCUUGAUAAUGCCCAUCAAGAAUAUUCAUAUGCAAUUGUUGUAUGUAUAUUUCAUAAAUUUUUAGCAAUAACAUGCAUUUUCUUCAAUGUUUCUGAAGUGGCGAUCAAUUUCUAGGUUGUUCAAGCUACGUCAAAUCUAAUGUCAAAACAUGACAUUUUGAGGUCUUACAUGAAUAUUAUUGAUAACAUGCUGUCUCAAAUGGCACUGUUGUAAUCUUCGAAGUGGUAAAUUUAAAAAUUGCUAUUAUAUAUGCAAAAUAUCUUAUAAUUUUGAGGAUCCAUCCUUCAAACCUUGUGGUGGUAGGUUAGGUGAAAAGGAUAUGGACUAUGAUACUGAUGAUAAAUCGAUGGCCACACUUCAUCGCCAACUUAGGAGGGCACAUGAGGAGUACUAAAGGGUAUUGUAGGAUAAGGCAUUGUAUACAUUUUAUUUAGUAAUGCAAGGUUGUGGAUUGUCAAAUAUGACAAAUUAAGGUUUGUGAAAAGCUAGUAAGUAGUAAUUACUAGAGUAUAGAAAAAAUAAUAACAUGAAAAUCAUGAAUGGUGCUAACUAUUUAAUCAAAUUUUUUAAGGGUGUUGUCAUGUGCAGUGAGUAUAUGGCUUUUGUCAUGGAAGCCCUCAAACUAGAAGACACGAUAAAAAAAUUAUGAAUGCCAUGAUGCUAAUGGAUGCUAAGUUUAUUGAUCUUAUAUUUGCAGUGUAAUCUCGUUGCUUUGAAAAUAUUGUGUGCAUGUAUCACUUCAAGUCUUCAAUCUUAUAUGAAUCUUAUUUUGUUCCAUUUGAUUGUAUUCACAUGCUGAUACAUUUUGAGAGCUUGUGUAAUGCCUGUACUCUUAACAGUUCCACAUGUUUUAUGCUACAAGCAAUACUAGUGACCACGAAUACUUGAAUGUUGGCAAAUUGUCCAAUUGGUAUUGAUGAUUGUGCUUGUCAACUUGAGGAAAUUUGCAGCUAUCAAUUAUAUUGUUAGUAAAUGCUUGGAAAACUUUGAGCAAUAUGUACUACAAACAAGUUGUGCUAAUGCAGAAAAUUUACAGACAUCAAUAUUGUGUGCAACUAACACUUUAAUCAUAUAGUAUUUAGUAACAAUUUACUUUUUUAAACAGGAAAUAUGUAUCAAGUUUAAGUGAAAGUCGUCCAAGCACAGUUGGAUUAAUUUGGGACACUAUUGGUCUUCUUUUUACCUUCACUGUAGAUUUUUUGGCUAUCAUAAUUCCUUACAACAAGCAUCCUAGUUCGAUUAGAUUCUUACUUUCUUGGUAAAUUCGUUAAUUCUUACAUGUGAUUAAAAUUUGAUGGAGUUGACUCUGAUGAUACUUUGUUGCAUUCCCAGAGUUCAUUUGGCACUCUAUACUGAGAAAGCAGCUUCAAAAAGCAUGUACUGUUGCCCUUGGCUGCAUGUCAGCUGCUAUACUGCUGGUUGAGGCUACUUUACUUCCAAGUGGUGUUGAUCUAUCUCUCUUUUCUAUUCUUAUAAAAUUUGUUAUCUAGAUGAAUUGUAUUUAUUUUUGUUAUUGACACAUGCUACUGCAAGGAUGCUUUCAUAAUAUUUCAUUUAAAUGUUUUAGCAGUGUUCAUAUCUAAAAUGCAUUUUAAAUUGUUAUGUCAAAAUACUAUCUGCACCUCAUUUCAAUACCUUCAUUCUCACUGGACUUAUUUUAUAUCAUUUCAGAAGCAAGAAAAAAAUAUAAGGACUUUGGGAAGAAGUGAAAAGAAAACCUUAAAGGCUCAGGCACAUGCAUCUCAGAAGACCAUUGAUAGUCUAAAGGUCGAUGGAAGAAAAUAACAACCUCCUUUGUCAACUAUUAAACUUCGACUAAGGCCUAGUGCCUCUAUCUUAAGUCUGCUGACCACUAUAGGACCUGGAACUUUAUAAUUGCUAUAGUAGCUACUUACAAUCACUAUAGAUUUGAAGUUAUAGGAUUAUUUUCAAUUAUGCUUGAUGUUUAAUACUUUGAGUUGAAGUUAUAGGAUUUGCUUUUGAUUUAAAGCUAAAGGAUUGCAUAUAUAUGUUUUGAAGUUAUAUGAUUCUCUACUGGAUGAAGUAUAUGUGUUU
rnacentral:lncRNA from 1 species